AUGGUAGUUGUUGAAACAAUUUUUUUGCUGCAAGAAGCAAAAUGUAUGUGUAAUAAUAUCGGUAAAAGAAUUGUAUGGGUCUUCCCUACUAUUUUGAUUAAAAAAUCAGUAAAAGAAGCCACACUAGCCAUGGUUGAAGCACACAUGGAAUUUGUUGGACCAAAAUGUCUAUAUCAUAAAAGAAGCGUACAUGGGCAAUGGUUGAAGCAAAAGUUUACUACCAUGGAAACAUGUACAAAUAAGGAUCACUGGAAGAAGCAAAAAGUAUGUACAACAACUGUAGUCAAAGAAGCAACACCAGUCGUGGCUGAAGCGUACACGAAUAGUGAUUGA
rnacentral:rRNA from 1 species